CGCGUAGGCGGUUUUUUAAGUCAGAGGUGAAAGCCCAGUGCUCAACACUGGAACUGCCUUUGAAACUGGAAAACUUGAAUCUUGGAGAGGUCAGUGGAAUUCCGAGUGUAGAGGUGAAAUUCGUAGAUAUUCGGAAGAACACCAGUGGCGAAGGCGACUGACUGGACAAGUAUUGACGCUGAGGUGCGAAAGCGUGGGGAGCAAACA
rnacentral:rRNA from 1 species